rnacentral:rRNA from 1 species
CGGGUGAGUAAUGUCUGGGAAACUGCCUGAUAGAGGGGGAUAACUACUGGAAACGGUAGCUAAUACCGCAUAAUGUCGCAAGACCAAAGUGGGGGACCUUCGGGCCUCUUGCCAUCGGAUGUGCCCAGAUGGGAUUAGCUAGUAGGUGGGGUAACGGCUCACCUAGGCGACGAUCCCUAGCUGGUCUGAGAGGAUGACCAGCCACACUGGAACUGAGACACGGUCCAG